rnacentral:rRNA from 1 species
CCUACGGGAGGCAGCAGUCGAGAAUCAUGCACAAUGGGGGAAACCCUGAUGGGGCGACGCCGCGUGGGGGAAUGAAGGUCUGCGGAUUGUAAACCCCUGUCAUGUGGGAGCAAAUUAAAAAGAUAGUACCACAAGAGGAAGAGACGGCUAACACGGGGCCAGCAGCCGCGGUAAUACAGAGGUCUCAAGCGUUGUUCGGAAUUACUGGGCGUAAAGCGUGCGUAGGCGGUUUCGUAAGUCGUGUGUGAAAGGCGCGGGCUCAACCCGCGGACGGCACAUGAUACUGCGAGACUAGAGUAAUGGAGAGGGAGGCGGAAUUCUCGGUGUAGCAGUGAAAUGCGUAGAUAUCGAGAAGAACACUCGUGGCGAAGGCGGGUUCCUGGACAUUAACUGACGCUGAGGCACGAAAGCCAGGGGAGCGAAAAGGAUUAGAUACCCUGGUAGUC